GGAGUUGGCUAGGCAGUCGCUCCGCCAUCGGGCGGGGAGGAAAGUCCGGGCUCCGCAGGGCGGGAUGCCAGGUAACGCCUGGGCGGCGCGAGCCGACGGAAAGUGCCACAGAGAACAGACCGCCGAUGACCCUUCGGGGUGCAGGCAAGGGUGAAAAGGUGCGGUAAGAGCGCACCGCGCGGGUGGCAACAUGCCGCGGCACGGUAAACCCCAUCCGGAGCAAGACCAAAUAGGGACGCCAUGAUGUGGCCCGCAUCGCGUCCGGGUAGGUCGCAAGAGGCGCGCGGUGACGCGCGUCCCAGAUGAAUGGCUGCCCCAGACAGAACCCGGCUUAUAGGCCGACUCCCCAC
rnacentral:RNase_P_RNA from 1 species